CUAAGAGGAUGGUGUUGACCUAGGAAGUGUUUGUCCUGGGCGAAUGGCAGACCAUCGAGGUACAACUAAGGAGAUGGUGUUGACCUAGGAAGUGUUUGGCCUGGGCGAAUGGCAGCCAUCGAGGUACGACUAAGGGGUUGGUGUUGACCUAGGAAGUGUUUGGCCUGAGCAGGGAGCAGGGAAGGAAGCCUAGAGAGCUGACAUUCAGCCAGGCAGGUCCACAUCUCCUGCUACACAGAUACCUCUCCUAGGUACCCUGAAUUGUUCUGGCUGGAAUGUAUGUGGAAUGGCCUCACCUGUAAAUACAGACACAGCUCCUCAUUAGAAUGGUAGAUGUCUCCCUCCUACCCUUAGGCCAGGAAGGGCAUUUUCUGGCUUGUUUUUUCCCAGGGUAGAGGGAAAUCUUGUUCCAGUUCAGCAGGAAGGCAAGAUUUCAGGGGCUCAAGCUUGGUCGCCAACCGACUAGCUCAUGUUGAGAAAACCUUAUUUGGAGAAUCAUCAUCCUGUACACUGGGAGGAGCCUCAACGUGGCUUGGUCCAAUCUGCUUCACCAGUGGAUAAGAAAUUGAAGGCCAGCUGUGGUGGCUCACACCUGUAAUCCCAGCGCUUUGGGAGGCUGAAGUGGGAGAAGUGCUUGAGCCCAGGAGUUCAAGACCAGCCUGGGCUACAUAGUGAGACCCCAUCUCUGCGAAAAAUACAAAAGAUUAGCCAGGUGUAGUGGUGUGCGUCUGUGGUCCCAGGUGCAGGGGAGGCUGAGGUGGGGGAAUCACUUGAGCCUGGGAGCCUCAAGGCUGCAAUGAGCUAUGAUUGCACCACUGCACUCCAGCGGGGACAGAAGAGGGAGACUCUGUCUCAAAAAUAAAAAAAUAAAAAACAAAAAAA